GGAUCCAGACUUUGAUCAUGGCUCAUGACGAACGCUGGCGGCGUGCCUAAUACAUGCAAGUCGAACGAAGCUUUCUUUCACCGAAUGCUUGCAUUCACCGAAAGAUGCUUAGUGGCGAACGGGUGAGUAACACGUAGGCAACCUGCCCAAAAGAGGGGGAUAACACUUGGAAACAGGUGCUAAUACCGCAUAACCAUGAACACCGCAUGAUGUUCAUGUAAAAGACGGCUUUUGCUGUCACUUUUGGAUGGGCCUGCGGCGUAUUAACUUGUUGGUGGGGUAACGGCCUACCAAGGUGAUGAUACGUAGCCGAACUGAGAGGUUGAUCGGCCACAUUGGGACUGAGACACGGCCCAAACUCCUACGGGAGGCAGCAGUAGGGAAUCUUCCACAAUGGACGAAAGUCUGAUGGAGCAACGCCGCGUGAAUGAAGAAGGCCUUCGGGUCGUAAAAUUCUGUUGUCAGAGAAGAACGUGCGUGAGAGUAACUGUUCACGUAUUGACGGUAUCUGACCAGAAAGCCACGGCUAACUACGUGCCAGCAGCCGCGGUAAUACGUAGGUGGCAAGCGUUGUCCGGAUUUAUUGGGCGUAAAGGGAACGCAGGCGGUCUUUUAAGUCUGAUGUGAAAGCCUUCGGCUUAACCGAAGUAGUGCAUUGGAAACUGGAAGACUUGAGUGCAGAAGAGGAGAGUGGAACUCCAUGUGUAGCGGUGAAAUGCGUAGAUAUAUGGAAGAACACCAGUGGCGAAAGCGGCUCUCUGGUCUGUAACUGACGCUGAGGUUCGAAAGCGUGGGUAGCAAACAGGAUUAGAUACCCUGGUAGUCCACGCCGUAAACGAUGAGUGCUAAGUGUUGGAGGGUUUCCGCCCUUCAGUGCUGCAGCUAACGCAUUAAGCACUCCGCCUGGGGAGUACGGUCGCAAGACUGCAACUCAAAGGAA
rnacentral:rRNA from 1 species